rnacentral:rRNA from 1 species
UCAUUAUCGAGUGCGAGCCCUCUGGGCUCAACCUCCCACCCGUGCCGUUAUAAUACCUGUUGCUUUGGCGGGCCCACUGGGGUCACCUGGUCGCCGGGGGACGCCUGUCCCCGGGCCCGCGCCCGCCGAAGCACCCCUGAACUCUGAAGAAGAUAGGGCUGUCUGAGUACCUAGAAAAUUGUCAAAACUUUCAACAAUGGAUCUCUUGGUUCCG